rnacentral:rRNA from 1 species
CAGCCGCCGCGGUAAUACCAGCACCCCGAGUGGUCGGGACGAUUAUUGGGCCUAAAGCAUCCGUAGCCGGUUCUGCAAGUCCUCCGUUAAAUCCACCUGCUCAACAGAUGGGCUGCGGGGGAUACUACAGGGCUAGGAGGCGGGAGAGGCAAGCGGUACUCGGUGGGUAGGGGUAAAAUCCUCUGAUCCACCGAAGACCACCAGUGGCGAAGGCGGCUUGCCAGAACGCGCUCGACGGUGAGGGAUGAAAGCUGGGGGAGCAAACCGGAUUAGAUACCCGGGUAGUCCCAGCUGUAAACGAUGCAGACUCGGUGAUGGGUUGGCUUUGAGCCAACCCAGUGCCGCAGGGAAGCCGUUAAGUCUGCCGCCUGGGGAGUACGGUCGCAAGACUGAAACUUAAAGGAAUUGGCGGG